AAAAUCGAAUCGAGUGAACGGUCCUAGACAGAGGUCCAACAAGACGCAUGUGUGUCUGCAACAUAGCAAGAAGGCGCUCCAUUGAGCUUUUGUGUGUGUGUGUGUGUGUGUCUGAAAUAGCCAUUGGUGCUACCAAACAUGGCGUCUGUGCCUCAGUGGCGUCAGGUGACAACAGCCGCCCUGUCAUUUGACUGGUGGGGCCCUUUUUUACAAAGGGCACCCACCGCUUAUUCUGCCCUCACCCGAAAAUCAACGUGGCUACUAGGAAUGCAGUUGGUUUUUUUUGUUGUAGAAAGAAAGCAAGCCAGGGAAAAAAAGAUGUGUCAUUUCUCAGGGAGAAAAUGUUCAUGCACAAAAACUGUUUUCAAAAUGGGACCAAACAUUGAUUUAUUUGAUUUUUUUUUUUUUUUAAUGAGGAUACAGUAGUAUUUGAAAAAAAAAUUUUAAGGAUGAAUUCUCUUUAUGAAAACAAGUUAGAAGAAUAGUGAUGUUUUUGGAAUAAAACGUAAUAUUACACAGGUAAAAUCUGAGUGAAUAGUGUCAGAAAGAAAAAAGUGAAAAACAAUAAUUAGAUUUCUUGACCUUUUUCUUU